rnacentral:tRNA from 1 species
UCCCAGGUGGCUCAUACAGCAAAGUAUCUGCCUGCAGUGCAGGAGACUCGGGUUUGAUCCCUGGUUUAGGAA